rnacentral:lncRNA from 1 species
GAUGAGUUCUAGCUGUUGACUCUGCUAAUCGGCUCCGCGGAUUUAAUUCCUCCGUCUUCGAUUCCUUGCUAACCUUGUUCGUCCCACCUGCAUGCACCUCUGCAGCUCGGCUCACUGGGGCCGCCACGGGUGGUACUUGAUUUGGCUCCGUGAACGCUUCCUCAAUAUCUCAGGCGGUCAACGGCGAUGGAGGUUGGGGGGGAGGGGGGCAGUGGUCGAUUCGAAGUUGGGCAUUGGAGGAGGCCCGACAGGUCAUCUUCAUGCUCGAUAGUGGCAGCCUGACUUCGGCGGCUCAUUCUUCCACAUGUGAUUGCCCCUUCUCCCUUUUCCUGCCUCCCUUGUUUAUUUAUUUCCCGUUUCUUCCUUUCUCUGCAUGUGUAUGGUUGAACCAAUAUAAUGAAACCCAGGCACAACUGCUCAACUUGUUAGUUAAAGAUGUAAAUUUGUUUAUGUCGUCCACUUUUUGCGUGCUUGGGAUGGGCAUCGGUGGUGUACCCCCCUGCUCCCAUUCAUAUUGAACAAAUUUAAUAAGUAUUUAGUUAUUUGAGAUUAGCUAUAGUUGUAGUUUCAUCGCUAAAAAAGCUAUAGUUGUACUAUUUCCCAAAGAUACAAUUAAGUUUAAUAAGUGAAUAUGAAAUAGGUGCCAUUGCAUUAUACAUGUCAACUAUAACGAUGCGUGGAUGUUGUCACUAUUGGUUUGUUCAAAAGAAUAAGCUUCAAAUAUUAGAUAUAUAGUGUCCACAAUUGGUAUUAUUGAGCUAUUUCCAUCAAAUGUUGAUGCAUGUUUCCAGUACCUCUGGCAGUCGUAGUUCAUAUUCAUUUUGCGGCUUCCGCCAUAUUAGCAUAGAAAAGCCAUUUUUAUUUUAAAUAUAGUUUGCACUGUACUAAUUUUCCAUCCACUUAUGGUUACCUAAAAAGGCUAGUAGCAAGUGUAAGUGUGUUUUUAGUUCCUACCUUUAGAAUAUUUUGGUGUAGCCUAUGUUGCUGACCACAUCAUCCUUGUUGUUCGUUCAUUUGUGCUAUAGAAAAUAAAAUAAUAGAUGUGAUCAAGUCAGUAGGUUAUCACCUGCGAUUGGUUUUCCAAACUAUUCCCUUCCUCUUAUAUCUCUCAUGAAGUCCUUUAGCUUUAUGUAGAAAUUCGGUCAACAAUAUCAGGUCUUUGUGAUGUUGCUUGGCAUACUUCCUGUAGCACAGAUUCAAUCUCUGGCCAAGCCGCGUUACACAUGAAUGUCGCAAAUAAAUCUGUGUAUCCAGCCCACCCAUAUAUUACAUAACAUUUUGGUAGUUUAAUGACUUGUGUCUUGGGCUAUCUGUGGAAGUUGGAUGGCACAUGGUAGUAGUAUUGUCCUUCGUACAUUGUCAGCCCUUGUAUCUCCUCUUUAUUUUAUGUCUUGCAAGCCAGCAUAUAAUUCCUUUCAUAGGUUUCCUUGAUGUAUUUUGAUCCAGUCUAGUAUGUACUACAAAAUUCAAGCAAAGGCAUCCACAUCGAACUGUAAUUUAAGAUUUUUGCACACCAUCAAGUGUUUCAAUUGGUUAGUACGUUGUUGUAUAUGAUUCUUAUAGUAUUCCAAAACUGUUGCAUGCUUUCUCUUGCCUUUUGCACCUUUUUUUCAUAUCUAAUGUAUAUUUCCUUUGUUCCCAUCUUCUCCGUAAGAGCAUAUUAAUUGACACUGCAUGGCCAUGAAUUUUGAAUGGUUCUAUGGUAUUCUUCUUGGCCGCGUAUCUUUGUACUAAACAAUGAUAUCCUAUCCUUUUCUAUUCUUUGUUGUGUCAUUGACAAUCUAGGCUGCAACUUCAGUUGCAAAUGUCAUGUCGUGUCGUCUUAAUUUCAAGUUGUGAUAGUCGCCUUCUUUGAAUUUAUCAUUGCCAUUCUGAGUUUUUUUGCUACUCUAUUAUCUUUAUCCAACAUAGUUUUAAGCCCCUCAACAAUGUGAGGAUCUGUUGACUCCCUUUUAUCUUCUAAUGUGUAUGCAUUAAUCCUAUUUUGUCCUAUUCAAUUUUCCAAAUUUAGCAUCAGUUUACAGAUUUGUAUUGUCUUAAUAGAACAUACAUAUGUGGUGCUUUUUUCUAUGUCCUCGGUUUUUAUGUUUGCACUUUGCGUUACAUUUAGUCAUGUACACGUGGAUGCCCAAACCGUAUAUCUUGGUUUAAUUUUCGUGUUACUUACGUCGUGGUCAUACCAGCCUCACUGAUUAUUGAUUUUUUUUGUGCCGUUGGUUCUCCAUUGAUCUUUCUUUUUUUUCUGUUCCUGUAUAGUCUUACAUGUAGCUAUCUCUGUUGAAUUGCUCUGCACAAACAUAAAUACCAUUUAGUAGAUUUUUGCAGCAUGAGCAAUUUAUUACUUGUAAUAGUGGUCAAUGUACAUGAUUAACAUCUGUACAAGAUAUGGUUCCCUGCGGAAAUUCAACAAUGUUGAUUUUGCCUAUGUCUUGGCUAAGGGAAAUGUGUUCUCAUGUUUUUGAAAAAGAAAUAAUUGAUAUCUACAGCCAGGACCUGAUGCAACAUGUUUUUUUAUAUUUAUUUAAUAGAGAACCUCAAAUUAGUUGUAGAUCAUAAUGGAAAUGCAUAAGUGGCCGAGCACCAUAACCAUUUGUGUAUGAUAAACUCUGAUAGAUCAAAUAUUUGUACAUCAAUUUGAUUGAUUUAAUGAAGAACUUUUUGUUAGCUUGGAAAGAAUUGAACACAUAGAUAACACAAUUGAUGUGCAAAGCAGAAGCAAGCUGUAAUGCUGGUUCCACUAUACCUUACUACAUUUGUGCAUCAUGUAAGGGACGUUUAGCAGUUGAAUUCAGGACAUUAAGUAAAUAUAGUGGAUGAUAAUACACAUAAGGAAAUAACUUUGUAAGUAUUUGCUCACCGCACGUAGUUCAUAGGUUGUUCUUUCGGCAUAGUUGUGCGGUCUGGCACAUCUCCAUGCAUGUAUGAUCAAAAGUUGUCUCUUUUUCUUGUCUUGAAGUUUCGUUCUCCUCUCAUAUCUUGUUGGUGUCUAUUGACUGGACUCACAUCAAUCAGAUGACAAUCUGGAAUUACUUUUCCCAUCCAUGCUUAAAUCACAAACCCGCAUGUGCCUAAUUUGAAUUUUUGAAUUGCAUAUUUUAGUUGUAACACUCAUGUGAUAUCUCCCAUUAAAGAUGGUUAAUAAUGGAUCAGCUUGUUGGAUUGCAUAUUUGAUGAUUUAAACCAUCUUGGAAAGUUUCUCUCAUUUUUGCUACGUGGCACACCUUUUGAUUUAUGUUUCUUCCUACGCAAUGGGAAUGCAUACAUCAUUAAAGAAGAUAAUAUUGUAAAAAUGUUAUCGAGUAUUUCGUAUUGCUCAAGGUUAAGAAGAUUUAUGAUUUUGAUUAUUUUCCAGCUUACAGUUUUAUCUCUUUGUUGUCGAAGUAAAGGAGAUCAACUUCCAAGAACAAUGGAUGUUAAGUUCCAAUCUUCAUGUGAAAACACAAAUAUUGUGAGUAUCUUUUACCCCUAGUACUGUAGUUACAUGCAAUUCCAUAAAUGCAUAUAUUUAGCAAAGAAUAAGAUUGUAAUUGAGGAUGGCAAGUUCAUAUACAAUUAGGACUGAAAAAUUGGAAGUGGAACUGACGGCCUGAUCCAAACUUAAAAGCUAUUUGAUUGUGUUGUCAUACCAUGAAUUGAAGACAUUGGUUGUACUGCCAAUUCUGUUGUUGUUGCUGACAAAAGAUUGAACUCUAAGAAUAAGAUGAUUGCAAUGAGGAUAUGAAGUUGAUGUACAAUAACCAUUGAGAAGUUGCAAAGGGAGCUUAGGACAUGAUUAAAAGCUAAUUGAUUGUGUUUUCAUACCUUCAGUUGAAGACGUAAGUUGUAGUGUCGAUUCUUUCUUGUUGUUGAGAAAAGAUUAAACUUUAAAUCAGUUCUAUAUGAUCUCUGCAGAUGGUACUUAUUGAAGAUGGUCUGCUCGCUCAAUGGAGCCGAUGGUGCAAUCUAGGAGAUUGGGGCGCUCGCUCGUGAGAAGUUUUUAGGGAAAGCCAUUGUGGAUGUGUAUAUUAAUUUGGAAUAAUAUCUACAUAAUCAAUUCAAUCUAUCAUGAUUAUUGUUUAUGGGAUUGUAAGAUUGAUUGUGAGAUUUGUGUGUUAGAAUAUGCAACGGAAGAUUGGCCGUCAUAUGAGUGCAUAGGACAUGGGAAUGAAAACAAAAGGGCGUAGGCUUUGAUAGUUUGGGAUUUUGAAUCAACGCACGUACCUUGGCUUGGGUUGUUGCUCAUGAUGCAGGUUGCUGGGCGAGCCACCUUGGAGGGGAUGUCAUGUCUUCUAGUCCUGCUGCGUGAACCACCUUGGACUGGACGGCAUGUGCCUCCUAAGUCCACGCUCGCAAUUUUGACCUCAGAGGAAGGGACUGGUAGGCAUGGUGUAGCCAAGCUAGGGUUCCUUAGCAUAGGGUUUCCUGUUAUUUUCUUUUAGUCUGUUUUUUAGUUUGGUCGUUCGUUGUGAUAGGAUAAAAU